AGAAAUGGACAUAACAGCCUAGAGGAAGACCUGGGAGAAGCCCUUGAAUAACCAUUGGUCCAUUGUGCAUCUAGGGUCCUUAACAAAAAGAUAAAAGACAAGUGUAUAAUAUGUUGGAAAAAAAAUUUCCCAUUCCCACACAGGCUAAUGAGAAAAUAUCAGACAAUCCAAAUUGAGGAGCAUUCUACAAAAUGUCCAGUACUCUUCAAAAGUGUCAAGAUCCCCCAAAACAAGACAAGACUAAACAAGACAAGACUAAAAAACUGUCAUAGAUCAGAGAAGAAUGGAGAGACCUGGUGACUAAAUGCUUUGGGCUAUCCUGGAUUGGAUUCUAGAAUAGCAAAUAAGGAACUUUCAGUAAAUACUUUUGUAAUUGCCCAUGAGUUGUCAAGCACUCAUGAGAUGAAGUUCCAACUCUACAGAUGAAAGCCCUGUUUUUGAAUCAAGCACUUCAUGAGUAAGGAUUUCACAAAGCUGCAAAAUCUGCUCUUGAGAACCCCUGACAACUAAAUAUUCCAUGGCUUCCACUGAUAAUCAUGCUGUCAGUUAAGUAUUUUGCUUUUUUUAAACAGCUGGGUAUAUUUUUUUCUCUAUGAAAUUCUGUGAAGAGAGUUUGAUGUAGCAAAUUUUUUUUUUUAAAAGGCUUGUCAUAUACCAGGAGGUAUCAACAAUCACCAAGCUCUCGUGCAUUAACUACCUGUUUCACCUCCAUUGAGGAUAUGUCUCAGGUCAAUAAUUGGAUCUAUGGAACCUGGCUGUGAUAAAUACCAAGGAAUUCUAUGCCAGUUCACAGCAGUAAGAGUGCAGAAGUGCCAGGAGCUGAUGUGCCCAAGAACUGAGCCCAAGUCUUAGCACAAGAUCUCCAUCCAUCAAAU
rnacentral:lncRNA from 10 species